AGUGAGCAGAAGAUUAAAUGUGAGUUUCAGGUUUGGUGGUCAAAACUGAGUGAAAUCUGUGCUGCUCAAGUGACAAAUGCCUUGUGUGCCCACAGCUGUUCUCAGCUGCUGAAAGAAGCAGGAGGGAAAAGAAGAACAGAAACACACGUUCACCAGCAGCUGUAAAACAUUAGGGCUAUUAUUCCUCACGAGGCAGGACCUAGAGUGAGAUGUUUGCAUUUCCCAUAAAUUUUCUGGGUUUCAGACAGUUGGUUUAUUGUGACAUGUUAGCAGCCUUUUCUCUGCACUGCACGUUCAGAAGAAUGAAUUUUAAUGAGACUAAACCAGCAGAAGACCCAUAAAGAAGAUGCGAUUAUGCUUUAAGUAUUCAUUAAAAAAAAAAAAAAAAAAGUUCCAUGAAAUUUAUACAUUUUGAUUUUUGUGUGUGACAGCCAAAAGAAUUAGACUGAGAGCACGUUGCAGAAUCAAAAUGGUGAGGAUUGGCAGGAACCUCUGGAGAUCCUCUGGUCCACUCUCUGUGCUCU